rnacentral:rRNA from 1 species
CCACCCUUGAAAGAGUGCGUAAUAGCUCACUGGUCAAGUGAUUUUGCGCCGACAAUGUAGCGGGGCUCAAGUACACCGCCGAAGCCGCGGCACUCCAACAAUACAUCCGCAUCGUUCUACGGGACGGUGUGCAGUGGUUGGGGUGGGUAGGGGAGCGUCGUAUGGCCAUGGAAGCAGCAGGGUGACCUAGUUGUGGAGGCCAUGCGAGUGAGAAUGCAGGCAUGAGUAGCGAAAGACGAGUGAGAAACUCGUCCGCCGAAUGACCAAGGGUUCCUGGGCCAGGUUAAUCCGCCCAGGGUGAGUCGGGACCUAAGGCGAGGCCGACAGGCGUAGUCGAUGGACAACGGGUUGAUAUUCCCGUACCCGUGUAUCCGCGCCCAUGAUGAAUCAGUUGUGCUAAGUGUCCUGAACUUCCGAGAAGACCUUCGGGUCUCGAGUGGAGGGAUGCACAUGACCCUGGCUGGUAGUAGUCAAGCGAUGGGGUGACGCAGGAAGGUAGCUGGGCCAGUCAGUGGUUGUACUGGUGUAAGCCUGUAGGGCGUGGUGUAGGCAAAUCCGCACCGCAUGAAGCCUGAGAGGUGAUGCGUAGCCGAUUGAGGCGAAUUCAGUGAUCCUAUGCUGCCGAGAAAAGCCUCUAGUGAGUUGGUACACGGCCCGUACCCCAAACCGACACAGGUGGUCAGGUAGAGAAUACUAAGGCGAUCGAGAGAACUGUGGUUAAGGAACUCGGCAAAAUGCCCCCGUAACUUCGGGAGAAGGGGGACCACAACCGGUGACGGCCCUUGCGGUCUGAGCUGGGGGUGGUCGCAGAGACCAGUGAGAAGCGACUGUUUACUAAAAACACAGGUCCGUGCGAAGUCGUAAGACGAUGUAUACGGACUGACGCCUGCCCGGUGCCGGAAGGUUAAGAGGACCGGUUAGCGCCCUUCGGGGUGCGAAGCUGAGAAUUUAAGCCCCGGUAAACGGCGGUGGUAACUAUAACCAUCCUAAGGUAGCGAAAUUCCUUGUCGGGUAAGUUCCGACCUGCACGAAUGGCGUAACGACUUCUCAGCUGUCUCAACCACAGACUCGGCGAAAUUGCAUUACGAGUAAAGAUGCUCGUUACGCGCGGCAGGACGAAAAGACCCCGGGACCUUCACUAUAGCUUGGUAUUGGUGUUCGGUACGGUUUGUGUAGGAUAGGUGGGAGACUGUGAAGCGGGCACGCCAGUGUUUGUGGAGUCAUCGUUGAAAUACCACUCUGAUCGUAUUGGACUUCUAACCUCGGACCAUGAUCUGGUUCAGGGACAGUGCCUGGUGGGUAGUUUAACUGGGGCGGUUGCCUCCUAAAAUGUAACGGAGGCGCCCAAAGGUUCCCUCAGCCUGGUUGGCAAUCAGGUGUCGAGUGCAAGUGCACAAGGGAGCUUGACUGUGAGAGCGACAGCUCGAGCAGGGACGAAAGUCGGGACUAGUGAUCCGGCACCGGCAAGUGGAAGCGGUGUCGCUCAACGGAUAAAAGGUACCCCGGGGAUAACAGGCUGAUCUUCCCCAAGAGUCCAUAUCGACGGGAUGGUUUGGCACCUCGAUGUCGGCUCGUCGCAUCCUGGGGCUGGAGUAGGUCCCAAGGGUUGGGCUGUUCGCCCAUUAAAGCGGCACGCGAGCUGGGUUUAGAACGUCGUGAGACAGUUCGGUCUCUAUCCGCCGCGCGCGUUAAGAAACUUGAGGAAGGCUGUCCCUAGUACGAGAGGACCGGGACGGACGAACCUCUGGUGUGCCAGUUGUCCUGCCAAGGGCACUGCUGGUUAGCUACGUUCGGAAGGGAUAACCGCUGAAAGCAUCUAAGCGGGAAGCCUGUUCCAAGAUGAGGUUUCUCUCCCCCUUCGAGGGGUUAAGGCCCCCCACAGACCAUGGGGUUGAUAGGCCAGAACUGGAAGCUCGGUAACGGGUGUAGGUGACUGGUACUAAUCGGCCGAGGACUUACCAACAA